GCUAGUUGAGGAUGCAGGCAGCUCUCAUGAUCUGAGAAAUCUUUGUUCACCUAGAGACGCUCUGGUUGAUGAACGUGUCCCAGACUACAAUUUGACGAACCCACCUUUUUCUGAUGCAAUUGCCAAGGACCCCGUUUAUGUUCCCCCUGACACGAUACAACAAUAUUCUGCCUGGCCUGAAGUGACAUCCGUUACAAUAAAAGCAACAUACAAGGAAGACAUCAUAAGAUUUCGGCUUUGUUUAAG
rnacentral:misc_RNA from 1 species